GAUGAACGCUGGCGGCGUGCCUAAUACAUGCAAGUCGAGCGAACAGACGAGGAGCUUGCUCCUCUGACGUUAGCGGCGGACGGGUGAGUAACACGUGGAUAACCUACCUAUAAGACUGGGAUAACUUCGGGAAACCGGAGCUAAUACCGGAUAAUAUAUUGAACCGCAAGGUUCAAUAGUGAAAUACGGUUUUGCUGUCACUUAUAGAUGGAUCCGCGCCGCAUUAGCUAGUUGGUAAGGUAACGGCUUACCAAGGCAACGAUGCGUAGCCGACCUGAGAGGGUGAUCGGCCACACUGGAACUGAGACACGGUCCAGACUCCUACGGGAGGCAGCAGUAGGGAAUCUUCCGCAAUGGGCGAAAGCUUGACGGAGCAACGCCGCGUGAGUGAUGAAGGUCUUCGGAUCGUAAAACUCUGUUAUUAGGGAAGAACAAAUGUGUAAGUACCUAUGCACGUCUUGACGGUACCUAAUCAGAAAGCCACGGCUAACUACGUG
rnacentral:rRNA from 1 species